rnacentral:rRNA from 1 species
UGCAGCUCAAGUGGUGGCCGCUAUUAUUGGGCCUAAAACGUCCGUAGCCGGUUUCAUAAAUGCCUGGGUAAAUCAUACGGCUUAACCGUAUGAAUUCCGGGUAGACUGUUUAACUUGAGACCGGGAGAGGCUAGAGGUACUCCUGGGGUAGAGGUGAAAUUCUGUAAUCCUAGGGGGACCACCAGUGGCGAAGGCGUCUAGCUAGAACGGGUCUGACGGUGAGGGACGAAGCCCUGGGGAGCAAACGG